GAGUUUGAUCCUGGCUCAGGACGAACGCUGGCGGCGUGCCUAAUACAUGCAAGUCGAGCGAGCGGAACCAACAGAUUUACUUCGGUAAUGACGUUGGGAAAGCGAGCGGCGGAUGGGUGAGUAACACGUGGGGAACCUGCCCCUAAGUCUGGGAUACCAUUUGGAAACAGGUGCUAAUACCGGAUAAUAAAGCAGAUCGCAUGAUCAGCUUUUGAAAGGCGGCGUAAGCUGUCGCUAAGGGAUGGCCCCGCGGUGCAUUAGCUAGUUGGUAAGGUAACGGCUUACCAAGGCGACGAUGCAUAGCCGAGUUGAGAGACUGAUCGGCCACAUUGGGACUGAGACACGGCCCAAACUCCUACGGGAGGCAGCAGUAGGGAAUCUUCCACAAUGGACGCAAGUCUGAUGGAGCAACGCCGCGUGAGUGAAGAAGGUUUUCGGAUCGUAAAGCUCUGUUGUUGGUGAAGAAGGAUAGAGGUAGUAACUGGCCUUUAUUUGACGGUAAUCAACCAGAAAGUCACGACUAACUACGUGCCAGCAGCCGCGGUAAUACGUAGGUGGCAAGCGUUGUCCGGAUUUAUUGGGCGUGAAGCGAGCGCAGGCGGAAAAAUAAGUCUAAUGUGAAAGCCCUCGGCUUAACCGAGGAACUGCAUCGGUAACUGUUUUUCUUGAGUGCAGAAGAGGAGAGUGGAACUCCAUGUGUAGCGGUGAAAUGCGUAGA
rnacentral:rRNA from 1 species